GACGAACGCUGGCGGCGUGCUUAACACAUGCAAGUCGAGCGCUGAAGCCUUUCGGGGUGGAUGAGCGGCGAACGGGUGAGUAACACGUGGGUGACCUGCCCUCAGCUCUGGGAUAAGCCUGGGAAACUGGGUCUAAUACCGGAUAUGACCUUUCCUCGCAUGGGGUUUGGUGGAAAGUUUUUCGGCUGGGGAUGGGCCCGCGGCCUAUCAGCUUGUUGGUGGGGUGAUGGCCUACCAAGGCGACGACGGGUAGCCGGCCUGAGAGGGCGUCCGGCCACACUGGGACUGAGACACGGCCCAGACUCCUACGGGAGGCAGCAGUGGGGAAUAUUGCGCAAUGGGCGGAAGCCUGACGCAGCGACGCCGCGUGGGGA
rnacentral:rRNA from 1 species